rnacentral:rRNA from 1 species
AACGCGAAGAACCUUACCCGGGCUCGAAAUGUAGAGAACGCUAGCAGAAAUGUUAGUUCCCGAAAGGGGCUCUAUAUAGGUGCUGCAUGGCUGUCGUCAGCUCGUGCCGUGAGGUGUUUGGUUAAGUCCAGCAACGAGCGCAACCCUUAUUGUCAGUUGCCAACGCGUAAAGGCGGGGACUCUGGCAAGACUGCCUAGGUUAACUAGGAGGAAGGUGAGGAUGACGUCAAGUCCGCAUGGCCUUUAUGUCCGGGGCUACACACGUGCUACAAUGGUCGGUACAGAAGGCAGCGAAACCGUGAGGUGGAGCUAAUCCGCAAAGCCGAUCUCAGUUCAGAUUGCAGACUGCAACUCGUCUGCAUGAAGUUGGAAUUGCUAGUAAUGACGUGUCAGCAACAGCGUCGUGAAUACGUUCCCGGGCCUUGUACACACCGGCUAC